rnacentral:rRNA from 1 species
AGCAGCCGCGGUAAUUCCAGCUCCAAUAGCGUAUAUUAAAGUUGUUGCAGUUAAAAAGCUCGUAGUUGAAUUCUAGGCCUGGCCAGGCGGUCCGUCUUUGGCGAGUACUGUCUUGUUGUCGGGUCUUCCUUCUGGUGAAUCAGUAUGUCCUUUAUUGGGUGUGUUGGGGAGCCAGGACCAUUACCUUGAAAAAUUAGAGUGUUUAAAGCGGGCUAUUGCUUGAAUAGAUUAGCAUGGAAUAAUAGAAUAGGACGUUGUGGUUCUAUUUUGUUGGUUUCUAGGACCACCGUAAUGAUUAAUAGGGAUAGUUGGGGGCAUUAGUAUUCAAUUGUCAGAGGUGAAAUUCUUGGAUUUAUUGAAGACUAACUACUGCGAAAGCAUUUGCCAAGGGUGUUUUCAUUAAUCAAGAACGAAAGUUAGGGGAUCGAAGACGAUCAGAUACCGUCGUAGUCUUAACCAUAAACUAUGCCGACUAGGAAUCGGGCGACGUUAUUUUACGACUCGCUCGGCGCCUUAUGGG